CUUCCUGCUCAGGAAGAUUAGAUAUGCCAUUCUGACAAAACUAAAGAGAAACCUUCCUUAUCUCUGCACCCCUUUUCCCAGAAUUGACUGUUACAUGGAAGUCUAACAUCAGAUGCCAUUUUAAACUUGGUAAGGAUGGAUACCUGAGAACUGCUGCCUGAAUUAUGAAUCUCAAUGAAGGUUCCGGAUGCCAGCAUGAUGCCAACCAGACUUCCCUGGACAGACGACCCCACCAAUGUGUACUGGAGCUCCACUUCCUCAGAGACCCACCCUACUGGGGAAAGAGAGAGGCAGACUGGGAGUAUGGAUCGACCAGUCAACGCCCAUGUUCAGCGGGGAAGCAAUUACAGAAGUCAGACCUUCCACCUUCUGCAACCUACAAGGACUCUGGGUCCAUGCUCCCAGAGGGAUAGAGAAUGGGAAAGCUAUCAGGGGAGGGGAGGGGAUAUGGAGAUCGGAUGGUGGGAACUGUGUGGAAUUGUACCCCUCCUACCCUAUGGUUUUGUUAAUGUCUCCUUUCUUAAAAAAAAAAAAAAAAGAAACAUUU